GGACAGGUGGCAGAGUGGUCGAAUGCGCUGGACUCGAAAUCCAGUUUACGUUUAGGCGUAACGUGAGUUCGAAUCUCACCCUGUCCGCCA
rnacentral:tRNA from 1 species